UACGUGGGGGGCAAGCGUUGUCCGGAUUUAUUGGGCGUAAAGGGCGUGUAGGUGGUUCUGUAUGUCUACCGUGAAAGCGUACGGCUCAACCGUAUUUAGUCGGUAGAAACUGCAGGACUUGAGGCUGGGAGGGGCUGGUGGAAUUCCCCGUGUAGCGGUGAAAUGCGUAGAGAUGGGGGAGAACACUCGUGGCGAAGGCGAGUCCCUGGACAAAACCUGACACUGAGGCACGAAAGCUAGGGGAGCAAACAGG
rnacentral:rRNA from 1 species